UGAUGACGAUGCACCCCACAUAGGGUUGAGAAAGAAUUCAUUUCUGUCUCUGGUGUGUGUUUGGAGAACAGGGUCCUCUGUAUGCCUUUUCCCGGCGGGAGUGGGGAACCCAGGCGGCCCCCAGGUGCUCGUCUAGGGAUGUGCUCGGAGGAUGGCGAGGCUCAGAGGAAGAUCAAUGCUGGCUGCUGGGUGUGGACUUCAGAUGGUGGGCAAGGAAGCUCACACUUUUCCUCCUCUGCACAAGGCGAUUCUGACCGUUGAAACUUUUCUCCUCAGGUAUGGGUCUUGCUCCAUGGAGGAAGAUGACAGCUCGGGAAGGGAGCAACCUCGGUGAUGAGCACUCGCAGGAACUGUGAGGGGCGGCUCUGUGAGCAGCUUUGUGGUGAUUUAUGGGAGUCGGGGGCUGCCGGAGAGGGAUGUGGGUGCCAUCAGCUCGGUGGAUUAAAUGCCCAUUUACAUUGUUAUUGACAUAUAAAGUAUCGGUGCCAAGGAGACGGUGAGGGAAAGGAUUUCUGGGGCAGUGAUGUGGCGCAUGCCCCAGGAUAUGGACUCGUCUCUCCCCAAAUCUGUCCUCUGGGCACUCAGGAGGCCAGGACUGGAGCUGGAGUAAAAGUCCCAAAUCCCAGCUCUCACAAUGCCGGAGCAGCCACCCUCAUUGCUAAGGCAGUGAUGGCAAGAGAGGUCCCUGAGUGGGUUUGAAGAAACCGGGGAGGCCUUUGACAAGGUCGUGUGGAUUUCCUCGGCUGGCAGGAGCCGCGUCUGGCCGCCUGCAUGCAUCGCUUUUGCCUGGGUUCUUUUAUUCCACUGUGGAUUUGGAAGCACCGCUGAAGAAGAGAGGGAAUUUUAUUCCUGGGAAAUGGAAUCGGUUUCUGAGUCCAGCCAGCAGCAGAAGAGAAAACUGGUUACCCACGGACUGGAAGAUCAAAAGAGGGGCGAGGACCAGCCCGCUAGACCCAGAGUCCCUGCAGGAUCUGAAGUCCUCAGUGGUGGCCACACUGAUUUUGCUCCCAGGCAGACACAAACAAGCAAACUUCUUUCUGGCUUCCCUGUUCAUCUCUGGAGGAAGUCAAGAAACCUGGGGGACAUUGAAUGGGACCAAGCACCCCCAUGAUUAUCAGGAAGUGGACAGUGCAUGUGUGUGACGGUCAGAAGAGUCAUUUCACUAUUUGAGUCUUCUCUUUCUCACCUGUAUGAAGAGGCUGUAAUCGCAGCCCUUUCUCUCUCAUAUACUUGUUGUGAGGAUUAAAUGAGGUCAUGUUUGGGAAAUUGAAAACAGCUAACAGCUAAUGUUCCUUGGGUAUAUCCCAGAUACCUUUAUAGUCUCCAUUUUAUAAAUAAAGGACCCAGAGACUGGGGAAGUUAAGUGCUUUGCUAAAUGUCACAGAGUAAAUAAGUGAGUUCAGUUCAGUCGCUCAGUCGUGUCUGAGAGCCUGGUAUUUGUCAUGUGUCUGACCCCAGAGUCUAAGCUUUUCAUCACCGUAUCAUAUACUGUUUCAGACUUGAGCUGUGUGACAUCGGACAAGUGACUUCCCUCUCUGGUCUUCUGCGGUACCAUCUGAAAAUGAGAGACUUGGCAUGGAUUAAUGCUAAGGUCCCUUUCAGCUCCAAAUUCCUGGUUGUAUUUUAAUAAAGGAUACUUACACCCACCGCCUGAUAGCACUUCCUUCCUCCAAGUUUGGUCUUCUUUGAACAUGGGAUGACUUGACCAUUUGCAGCCUCUAGCUGAGAGAGCAUGCUGGAGGAGCAGGCAGAUUGUCACGCACAUCUAAAUAGCAGAGCCGAGCCUGCCUAAGUGGGAAAUGGAUGUUGUAAUACAAAGGCAGUUACCCGGGUCCUUGGAGGUUUCAGCAGGAU
ensembl:lincRNA